rnacentral:rRNA from 1 species
UAAGGAAUAUUGGACAAUGGGCGGAAGCCUGAUCCAGCCAUCCCGCGUGCAGGAUGACGGCCCUAUGGGUUGUAAACUGCUUUUAGAUGGGAAGAAUAGUAUUUAUUUA